AUGAACGCUGGCGGCGUGCCUAAUACAUGCAAGUCGAGCGAACAGACGAGGAGCUUGCUCCUCUGACGUUAGCGGCGGACGGGUGAGUAACACGUGGAUAACCUACCUAUAAGACUGGGAUAACUUCGGGAAACCGGAGCUAAUACCGGAUAAUAUAUUGAACCGCAUGGUUCAAUAGUGAAAGACGGUUUUGCUGCCACUUAUAGAUGGAUCCGCGCCGCAUUAGCUAGUUGGUAAGGUAACGGCUUACCAAGGCAACGAUGCGUAGCCGACCUGAGAGGGUGAUCGGCCACACUGGAACUGAGACACGGUCCAGACUCCUACGGGAGGCAGCAGUAGGGAAUCUUCCGCAAUGGGCGAAAGCUUGACGGAGCAACGCCGCGUGAGUGAUGAAGGUCUUCGGAUCGUAAAACUCUGUUAUUAGGGAAGAACAAAUGUGUAAGUAACUAUGCACGUCUUGACGGUACCUAAUCAGAAAGCCACGGCUAACUACGUG
rnacentral:rRNA from 1 species